rnacentral:piRNA from 1 species
UGAAAUAUUUUCUGAAACAUGGUUGG